rnacentral:piRNA from 1 species
GCUAGUGGGAGUGUCUUUUAGCAUGC